CUGGCGGCGUGCUUAACACAUGCAAGUCGAACGGAAAGGCCUCUUCGGAGGUACUCGAGUGGCGAACGGGUGAGUAACACGUGGGCAAUCUGCCCUGCACUUCGGGAUAAGCCUGGGAAACUGGGUCUAAUACCGGAUAGGACCUCAAGACGCAUGUCUUCUGGUGGAAAGCUUUUGCGGUGUGGGAUGGGCCCGCGGCCUAUCAGCUUGUUGGUGGGGUGACGGCCUACCAAGGCGACGACGGGUAGCCGGCCUGAGAGGGUGUCCGGCCACACUGGGACUGAGAUACGGCCCAGACUCCUACGGGAGGCAGCAGUGGGGAAUAUUGCACAAUGGGCGCAAGCCUGAUGCAGCGACGCCGCGUGGGGGAUGACGGCCUUCGGGUUGUAAACCUCUUUCACCAUCGACGAAGGUCCGGGUUUUCUCGGAUUGACGGUAGGUGGAGAAGAAGCACCGGCCAACUACGUGCCAGCAGCCGCGGUAAUACGUAGGGUGCGAGCGUUGUCCGGAAUUACUGGGCGUAAAGAGCUCGUAGGUGGUUUGUCGCGUUGUUCGUGAAAUCUCACGGCUUAACUGUGAGCGUGCGGGCGAUACGGGCAGACUAGAGUACUGCAGGGGAGACUGGAAUUCCUGGUGUAGCGGUGGAAUGCGCAGAUAUCAGGAGGAACACCGGUGGCGAAGGCGGGUCUCUGGGCAGUAACUGACGCUGAGGAGCGAAAGCGUGGGGAGCGAACAGGAUUAGAUACCCUGGUAGUCCACGCCGUAAACGGUGGGUACUAGGUGUGGGUUUCCUUCCUUGGGAUCCGUGCCGUAGCUAACGCAUUAAGUACCCCGCCUGGGGA
rnacentral:rRNA from 1 species